UCUUGUACAACGAGCCCACUUUCUUCUCCAGCACGUCUCCAGAGGCCAACAUCUGGAAGGAAGCAGCAGAGAGCCCGGGCGGAGCUGGCGUGGAAAACAAAAAACCCCACGUGGAGUUUUGGAAUUUCAGCUGGUGACUCACAGCCAAGAAAGCGAAGCAGGACUUCUGCUGCUGAGUGAAGACUUCCUUCUGGUGGUCCCAGAGUUUCAUGUGCAGCUCCUUCAGAACCUUCUCCAGAGACUGGCGCACGGAGAACAUGGCCUCCCACAGACAGACUUUAUCGCUGCGAGGCAGGGCAAGGUCAGCAUGGCUGCCUCGGUCACCCCAGCACAGCUCGGGCAGGGUUUGGGGCGCCUGGGGAGCUCUCCGUGGGGCUGGGAGAAGCUUUGGGAAGCGUGGUGGGAUGGAGGGCGGCUUUUGGGGGUUCCUCGGGCCCGGCAGCCGGAGAAUCUCGGGGUUCCCACACAGGGAAGAAGCGCUCCAGGCUGUCAUGGCCGGUACCUGAGUAUCGGCGCGGCCUCCAGAGCUGUGGUGACGACCAGCCCGGGCCACAGGUCGGCCAUGAGGGCGAGCAGGGCAUGGAAGCAGCGAGCGGUUGUGGCGUUUUUCUCGUCACAGUAGGUGAAGAUGUGUCUCACCACCUUUGGCACCUGGAGGGAGCGCAGGAACUCCAUUGGCACCCGCUUGUCCAGGAGGCUGGAGCGUCCCAGGAUCUCGAUGGCGGUGAGGAUGAUGUCUGUCCUCUCAGCAGGCCUGAGGUAUCUCCCAAAGGCCUGUGGCGGGAAGGAAGGGAGCAGAGGCUGCUGACCCUGACCCAAAACUGCUCGGCCCUGGGCAGGGGAGGAUGAGGAGGGCCCCGGGGCAGGGAGGAAGGCUGGGGCCCUACAGAGACACCAGGGUUUGCU
rnacentral:lncRNA from 1 species